GAUGAACGCUGGCGGCGUGCCUAAUACAUGCAAGUCGAGCGAACGGACGAGAAGCUUGCUUCUCUGAUGUUAGCGGCGGACGGGUGAGUAACACGUGGAUAACCUACCUAUAAGACUGGGAUAACUUCGGGAAACCGGAGCUAAUACCGGAUAAUAUUUUGAACCGCAUGGUUCAAAAGUGAAAGACGGUCUUGCUGUCACUUAUAGAUGGAUCCGCGCUGCAUUAGCUAGUUGGUAAGGUAACGGCUUACCAAGGCAACGAUGCAUAGCUGACCUGAGAGGGUGAUCGGCCGCACUGGAACUGAGACACGGUCCAGACUCCUACGGGAGGCAGCAGUAGGGAAUCUUCCGCAAUGGGCGAAAGCCUGACGGAGCAACGCCGCGUGAGUGAUGAAGGUCUUCGGAUCGUAAAACUCUGUUAUUAGGGAAGAACAUAUGUGUAAGUAACUGUGCACAUCUUGACGGUACCUAAUCAGAAAGCCACGGCUAACUACGUG
rnacentral:rRNA from 1 species